UACAGGAAUAGGCACAAAUUAAAAUGACAGCAGCAUUCGCAUCCACAAAACCACAUUGAAUUGAAUCGGUUUUAGAAGUGGGGUGUUUUAAAAAGCCCCUGCCAGCCAAUUGUACAAAACUAGGUUUGCAGUCAAUAUAAAUCGAUUUCCCCCUUGUGUCGUAUGAAUGAUAAAGUCUAAAUCGAUUUACAUGAUGCUUAAAUGCUGUUCGUAUUGCCAGUGUGACUGCAGCCUAAGGUAGUGAAGCAAAGUAUUUUACCACCUCAAAUAGAUUUAACAGAUUUCUUUUCACCAGAUGGAGCUCUUGUACCUUUCAUGGCAGAGACAAGACUCUUUCCUGGAGGUGUGCAAUUAAAUCUCUUCCUCCUGCUGCAAUGCUGCUGUGGUCAACUCAGCCACCUCUUCCCUGCGUGCACUACAACUUUCAGCUGAGGUUUCUUGCCAGUAGAGGAGAUCAUGGUGAUUCAGGGUCUGCUGUGGACAAAAGGACUUAUCUGUCCAGAAGGCACUUCUCAUGCUCCCUGUCACAUGCCAUUAUGCUGACUCUGGAGAGUAUGAAGCUGUGUAGAUGUGUCCUGACUCCUAAAAUGACUUCCAUGAAGGUAAGGAGAUUCAUCUGUAGGUCUGAAUACCUGUGAUGGCUCUAGAUAAGGUGUGAAAAGACUAAUUGUAUUAAACCACACUGAGCAUUGAAAGUAGACUUUUGUGAAGGGUCCAGAGAUAUUUCCUGCCUGGAGCUGAAGUUUCUGUGUGGUCUGUAGGAAAUCUACAUAUGACCAACUGCAGAGGAUGUGUUUCUAGGCUGUUGCUUCCUUUCUGCUCCAGAUGUUUUCUGGCCUGAAGGAAAUGCAUUGUUCUUUCCCCAGCUGCCCUAUUCUCACCUCCAAGUCUGCCCUUGAAUUCCAAGGCUCAGUUAGAGGCCACAAAUGAACAGUUGGCCUGCUUCUUCCCCUUCUCCCCCACAUGAGUGGGUUGUGGAAGUGUGCAGCAGGAAACUUAGGAUUUUUCUCUGAAGAGCUCACUUCUCUUUGUUUCUUUCUUCUGUUGUACCCUACAGUCAGAUUGGAGGAGACGUAAGGCACUGCUUCAGCACAGAAUCCAACAGGCUGAACUUCUUCC
rnacentral:lncRNA from 1 species